UUCCGGUUGAUCCCGCCGGACCCCACUGCUAUCGGGUUGAGACUAAGCCAUGCGAGUUGUGCGUCUUCGGCCAUAGUGGAGACGCAGCAUACGGCUCAGUAACACGUGGCUAACCUGCCCUUGAGACGAGGACAACCCUGGAAACCUGGGGCUAAUCCACGAUAGAUGGAAACGCCUGGAAUGGUCUUCCGUCUAAAAGGUGUUAGGGUCAUGCUUCCUAACAUCGCUCAAGGAUGGGGCCGCGUCUGAUCAGGUUGUUGGCGGGGAAAAGGCCCACCAAGCCUAUAACCAGUACGGGCCAUGAUAGUGGAAGCCCGGAGAUGGGCACUGAGAUAAGGGCCCAGGCCCUACGGGGCGCAGCAGGCGCGAAAACUUCGCAAUGCGCGAAAGCGUGACGAGGUUAGCCCGAGUGCCGUCCGCUGAGGAUGGCUUUUCUUUGGUGUAAGGAGCCAGGGGAAUAAGAGGAGGGUAAGUCUGGUGUCAGCCGCCGCGGUAAUACCAGCUUCU
rnacentral:rRNA from 1 species